AGUCUUCACCUACAGCUAUGAGUUUACCUAAAAUCAAUUACACUCGACAGUAUUUAUUAUUAUUAUUUUCAUUUUCUGUUUCAUGAGUUUUUUAAAAACUAAUUCUUUACAUACAAUCGCUGAUUUCAAAUAUGCCAUCAUUUUUUCCCCUGCAUGUUUUUUUUCAUGCAAUCAGCGUUUUUGAUACUAUUAUAGUUGCAAUUAGGCCUGCACAAUAUAUCGCAAUGUGCGCAUGCGCAAUAGUCCCAUCGCAGGAUGUGCAAUUUUUAUCAGUCUUCAUCAUUCACAGAUAAACCCCCUUAGCCUGGAUUAAACCAUAUUAUAUGAAUACUAGGAAUGUCCCGAUCGCAUAUUUUUGCACUCAAGUCCGAGUCCAAGUCACCUGAUUUUGAGAAUCUGCCAAUACAGAGUAUCAGAGAAAAUCUGAUACGGAAAAAAAAGUAUUUUUUUUUUUUUUCCACUUUGAUGCUCACGCUGCCGAGAACAGCCUUUUCCUUUCACAAUGAAUGAGUUACCACAGCACACUUCAGACUUUGUACCAAGCUUAAAGGGGAACUGAAGAGGUUUUCAGAUUUCGCUCUUAAGUGUUUUACUCAGUUGAAUUGUAUUCAAUGCGUCAUUCGCUCUCUCAAAAAGUCACAUAAAAAAAAAAAAUAAUAAUUGACCGCGUAGUUUUUGAGUUAUGGCCAUAGCAACACCGUAGCAACGAGGGACGCGCCGUCCUGCCGACCCCUACCUCGUGACGUAACUUCCAGGAAGCCUCGCCACCACUCUGAACACGGAAAUAUAGCACCACGCUAUCCUCGCUAUAUAUUGCAAACAUUUUCUUGGUUUUACUCGCGGGAUUCGUCAUGCCAUCUCGAUGUGUAGCGAUAUGAAUUACUCACAGGAAGACUCGAGACUCUAGGAGUGGUCCAAAAAAAAAACUUCUCCUGCAAAGCCACGACAGCUUUGAAAACCUACAGCAAUGCAACCUUGGUUUUCCAAAGACGAAGCCAAACAUAAAAAAAUUAAGUGGCGGAAACCCUCAACACGAUGAAAAAAGCGUUGCAAGUCAGUUGCCACCCAGUUUCCCAAAAUCAAGAGAGAGUGGGUCGAGUCAUAUGAUGACCCAAGUGAUGCGGUGUCCAGCGAUGACGACUGAAGAGAUCCUAUGAGGCCUGCCAGAUGCUGAAUUUCUUCCGUCUGCGACAUCAGAUGACGAUGAUUUAUGUAUAGAGAACACUUCAUGCUACAGAAAAGAGUAAAUACAUAUUUCCCACUGCCAUUAUCAUUUUUCAAUGUUGCGCUAGUCCGUUGCUAUCCAAACUUUGUGUUGCUUACUAAAAUUAUGCUCUUUGAUGUGUGCCGUUGUGUGCUUGGUAUAACAUGUUGUGUCACAAUCUGACAACGAAAGCUCAUGCUGAUUCAACAUAAACCUGGUAUCAUUUAUUAUUGCGGGCUAUUGAAUAUUUUUUCAGAAUGUAAUAUAAUUACAAUAUAUUAUAUACCAAUAGAAUACAUUAAACAGUCAACAAAAUGUGUCAAUGUUGUUAACAAUUUAUGGUUUUAUUUUUUUAAUGAAAUUCAUGCCCCUGUCAGUGCUUCAGCCUCCGCAAGUUUGGCUCUCACGUCUGGGAUCUCCUGAUGACACAGGCAUACUCUUGGAAGGGUAAUUACUUGACGGUUUACAGCAACACCUGGAAAAUAAAAUGGUUUUGUCAUUUAUUUUGAAAUAUCAAUAACAUAUCAUUCAUUUAGCCACAUUUGGGCUAGCAUUAUCAUAUUUAGAUUGGUAGGCGCUGUCCCAUUACCUAAAAUCCAGUUUUAGCUAUGUGUAGAGCAUUCAUUUAGCCACAUUUGGGCUAGCUUGAUCAUAUUUAGAUCGGUAGGAGCGGUCCCAUUACCUAAUAUCCAGUUUUAGCUACGUGUAGAGCAUUGAUUUAGCCACAUUUGGGCUAGCUUGAUCAUAUUUGGAGGGUCUUAAGGAUAGGGGAUACCCAGGACUUGAAUUGCAUCUAUUCAUCUUUGUUGCAUCUAUUCAUCUUUGUUGCUUCAUUUCUAAUUUCAUAUUG